UUUUUUUUGAAAUUCUCCCUGGAUAACUCAGGUCAUCGGCAUGUUAUCCAGUCAUGGGCUUAAAGACAUCGUGUCCCUUAUCCAGUCACGGGCUCAAAGACAUCGUGUCCCUAGACAUCCAGGCCUUAGAUCCCUGUGUUUACUUUUCAUAGACGUUGUCUCUUCCCUCACUGCCGACUGCCCAACAAAACCAAGGUCAAGCUCAGGCCACCAAGAUGAAAUCCUUAAUUUUCCUGUUCAGAUCUGCCAUAGUACUAAAAAGCAAGGUGACAUGCUUAUUAGAGCAUGUCCUAAAUAAGGAGACAAAGGAGGCGGGGCUAUGCGAGAAGCUCGGGCAUCAGGUUUCUUCUGAGAAUUAUCACAAAGUUCAAAGCCUGGGCAUGGUAGCACGGAUCUGUAAUCCCAAGACUCAAAGGGCUAAGAAACAGGAGAACCAAAGCCAGUGUGGGGUGUGUGUGUGUGUGUGUGUGUGUGUGUGUGUGUGUAUACACACACAUAUACCUAGAUGGCAUAUAUUUAUAUAUGUACAUGUAUAUACAUAUGUACAUAUAUAUAUAAUAUUUAUUCUCAUGUGUAUCUUAUAUGAUUAUUUUGUUUAUGUACAUAUAUACUUAGACAUACACACAUAAUUAAAGGCAGUUUAAUUUUGUUGUGUGCACCGGUAAUCCCAGCAAGGGGGAGGCAGGCUGAGGUAGAAUUAUUGUCAUGAGUUUGAAGUCACCCUGGGCUGCAUAAUUAGUAGCAGACCAGCUAGGGAUAAAGAGCAAAGCCCUGUCUCAAAUAAACACAAUUAAUUAAAUUGAAAUAUAAAAAUAAUAAUAUAUUCUCAAACUGCCCGUGAUAUUGGUAACAUACAAGUGAAUACACUAAAACCCAGUGAAUUGUACCCACAGUGAGCAGAUGGGUUGUACAGGGCGUGCCUGAUCUCCGUACAGCUGCAAAAGAAAGCAGAGUGGGACAGGCAAGGGUGGGGGGGAGAGAAGGAAGCUCUCUCGUAUGCACAUGCAUUGCUCAGAAAAUUUUCCAUGUUGUCUCCAAGUUGGCUGACUUCCAGCCCACGGGGUUGUAGGAGGUGAACUCUGCCAGUGUCAGGGUCAGAUAAGGUAAAGAAUGGAACGGGAUGAGCGCUUCAGCUGAUGCUGGGUCUGGCCAAGCAGUUUAUUUUUCUUACACAUCUUAAACAUGGUAAACUUUGGGAAAAAGUCUUCACGUGACAAUAAAAUUUCAUGGAUGGCUACAUCAAAACUCCCUGGCAUCUCUAUAGCAAAGCACCUGUGCCCUUUAGCUUAGGAAUGAGUUCUACUGACGGAUAAGCAGUGCUCAGGGAUCUGGACCAAGGGAUGGAAGAGUUUGUAAUAAGCAUAUAAAUGGGUUCCAUUAACAGAGAAUGCCAAGUACGUGAGCCCUCUGUCAUAAGGAUGGAUUCUAUUCACUGAGCGACAAAGCUCUGAAUCCGGGCCUAAAAAGUGCUCAGGACUUAGGGGGAUUCAGGUGAAGCCUGGCUCCAUAGAGUAGCAAAAGAUCACUAGGCUGUUGGACAGCAUCCACUCUAACCUGCGUGAACAGGCUUCAGUCAUUUCUGCAUGUUUAAAAUUCUGUUUUUUUUUUUUAAUGGUUUCUGUAAGCUGUGUCUUCCAUAUACUAGAAAACACAUGUGAGCCUCAAAGGGGUCAUACAACCCUCUGGCAACUCCAGAGCACUCUAGUCUGGGCUUGCCUCCAAACUUUCCAUAGCUCAUCCUCCCUCCUUCGGACCCUCACCCACCCACCCACCAGCUAGCAGAAACAUAGCUGUUGUCAGAGACAGAGGGCCCUCAGUGAGUGGUCCUACUGUUUACAGAUCUGGCCCUGACCUACAAAAUUAGCAGCCUUGAGUUGGUCCCCAGCUCCACCAGGGUGGAGUCUGAACCCCACCCUUUUCCAAGAGCUGGCAGUCCUGCAUGGCAGGCUGCCAGGUGCUCAUCUUUCCUGCUCACAGCUCAGCUUCUGGUUUGUGCCUCCACACUAAAUCUAAAGAGAGUUGUGGGUGUUUUGUUUUGCCUAAAGAAGAGAAGCCAGGCAUAGCAUCCUUAAAAGAGCCUUCUCCAAGGUCCUCGGGUACCAGAAUAGCCAGAGUGUGGGACAGGCAUGUGUCCCAAAUGGAAAGCCCCAUUUUAUGUCACAGUUGGAAACACAAACUCACAGACUGGGGGUCUGGAGACCUGCUGCUGCUUUCAGACCUGUGUCCCAAGGGUCCUUGUCACUGUUUACCUCAGGGAUCACUGAUGGAUGGGGAGCUGGAAAUGCUGGUAUCUGAGUGACUACAUGAAGGCACCGGCACCGAACAGUGAAGUAGAGACAAUUCUCAUGUGAGCAAACUCAGCCCCAGGUGGCGUUGGGACAUCUGACCAACAGUCAAGGGGCCAGGUGCCUUUCAGAAAUGAAGCCAUGGUUGGCUUCCCUCCACAUGUCACUCAGAAGCAGCAACAGUUACAUCUGAGGAAACAGCAUCAGGUGUCACUUCAGAGGGCAGGACAAUGUCUUGGUUAAAGUAUGGGAUCACAGGACAUGCCCCGUCACUUACUGUGUCCUAGUGUAAGUUGACUCAACUCCCAAGAGCUCUUCUUGCCUAGUCAGCCAAGUUGGGGCCCCAAGAGCACCCACUCCCUGGUUAAUAUGAGGAGGAAGAAAGGAAUGCAAACCGGGAGGCCAAGGACGUGGCUCACUGUCAGGAUCCAGCAGCAGUACGUGCUAUUGCUGCCCAUCUCAGCAGCAGCAGGAGGCCAAGUGGCAACAUUUACAGGGUGAACUAUGACAUAGGCAUGUCCUGAGCCUUUGCAUAUGCCAAUUCCCUCAUUCUUCAAAAUGUCCCAUAAAGACUGACCGUCAUCAUCCCCGCUUCAAAUGAGGAAGAAGCUGGGGCCCAGAGAGGUUGCUUAUUUUGCGCAGAGUCACAGAGCAUGCUAGUGAGUGGCAGAACCCAGAUGUCCUGAAUGAAGUGGCAGUGGGGAGGUAGGAUACCUUUCCUCUGCUGACACCCACAGAGCUCCAGUGUGGCUAAGGCCUAGGCUGUACCCUGAGAAGGCCGUGAGAGGCAGAUGGAGUCCCCAAGUCAGGGAGUCAGAUGAUACAAACCAAGAAACUUCCACCUAGCAGCAAGCGGCUGAGUGCAUUUCCAGAGUUUGCAGCCGACUCUUGGAGACCAUGGCGUGUCAUUUGGAUCGAGAGUAACAAAGCUUCCAUUUUGCCCUGGGCCUGGGCUCUGAUGGGAAACUACAGGCUCCCUCCGCAGCCGUCUAUGGAAACUGGCCUCAGACACUUAUUAUUCCUGGUAAUACCAAAUGCCAGGGGCUCCUGCUUUCAUUAUGAAGGCCCAGAAUGCCCUAUUCACAGCACAUAGAAGGCCCCGCAGAGCAUUCAGUCCCCGAGGCCAGCCCUUGCUAUGCCAGGGCAGUGCAGACAAGGGAUGCCAUAGUCUGCAUCCUUUCAUUCCCAGGAUGAACAUGGCACUAGGUCUGGGGCCUCCUACCUCCAAACACAAGGAUGGCACUCAGUGGCUAGUGAUGACCCUUCCUUCAGGGGCUCCAUGCCCAUCUGAGGAAAGCAGAAACUGAGCUUACAGAUGGCCAAGCUCUGCCCCUGCCUUUUUAUGCAAGUACCAACUUCAUCCAUCCAAGGAAAUGCCAAAAUCCUAUCCUGCCAAGAAAAAAGGGAACCAGCUGGCUUCUGAACUAGGCUGGGUCAAAUGGCAGAGACUGUGAGAACCUGGAAGGUCCCGGAAGGGUGACACUAGGGACAGAAUCCUGCCCUUCAUCUCAACCCCAGAAGCAGCUCCUAGCCACUGCCUAAUCCAACUUUGCCUGGUGACCCCAGUCCCACAACAUCAUUCUACUGUCUGUGUCACCUAGAGAUGGCGACUGUCCCAACGUCUCUGGGAAAUCUCUCCCUCAUUUGUCUUCUGGGCUCUCUAUGAGCCAUGUAGCCAACUCCUCACAUUAAAAUCCUAGAUCCAGUA